ensembl:lncRNA
CAUUGUGUUGAAAGAAGCUGUAUAAAGCAGGUUCAUGAAAUUUACAAGCUGAUUGGAAUAGCUGCUACCUCAAAUAGCAGAAAAUGAUUUCCAUACUACCUAAAUAGAUUAAAAGGACUUUCAGAAACCAACAUAAAGUCAACAUGAAAGUCUAGUUUUGAUGAAGAUUCCAGUGAAAACAAUCUGAGAGCUUCAGAUUGAUUAUAAAUACAAAUUAAUGAAUUAAGCACGGUUUUUUUAAAAAUAAUAAAUGAUCUCUCCUCUGCUCCAGGUUCUGUGUUCUGAGUCCUAGAACCUGUGAAUGUUUUCUUGCAUGGCAAAAGAGACUUUGCAGAUGAGAUUAGAGGUCUUGAGUUGGGUUAAUUAUCCUGCAACAACCAAAUGAAUGCAGUGUAACCCCAAGGGUCCUUGCAUGAGAAAGGCAGGAGAGUCUGAGAAAGUGAUGUGACAGUGGAAGCGGAGAUUAGGAAGAAGAAGAUGCUGCCAGCUUUGAAGAUGGAAGAAGCAGCUGUGAGCCAAAGGAAUUUAGGCACCCUGUAGAAGCUGGAAAAGACAAGAAAUAAAUUUUGACCUAGAACACCCAUAAUGAAGGCAGCCCUGCCAACAACUUGAUUUCAGACUAGUGAAAUUCUGACCUCCAGAAGUGUUUUAAGUUACUGAGUUUUUGAUAAUAUGUUACUUCACGAAUAAGAAACUAAUGCAAAAGACAGUCCACUGGAUUCCAUAGGAAUGUAUCUGGACCCUGUUUAUUUGGGGAUAUCUUACUUGAAAUAGCCAGGAAAGUUGUUAGGUCUAGUCAUUUACCUAAUAGUAGAAGAUAAGAGAGAGGGAGACAUGCUUUAAAUAUCUUAUCAAAAGAAAGAUCGCUAUUGUUCUGUGCUCCAGAGGCAGAACUAGAACAGGACGGGGAAGGUUAUCAGAAGGGAGAUUUGGGGUCAGUACAAAGAAAAGUGCCCUACCAUAGGAGCUGUUUAGUUAAGAGUUACUAAGCCUGACUAUUAUGGAGUCUUCCAGAUAUGUUGUGAAAACAGUUCUGACCUUGUUAUCAGUACUGGAUUAGGUACUAAGAUACUGUGCAGCUUUAAAAUUCUUUGAUAUGCUACAUUUUCAAUAUAGAAAAGAUUUUUCUGAAUGCAGCACUUGAAUAGCAUAUGUAAUGCAAAAAAGAUACUGUGGUAAGCCAUAAUAAAAAAUUAAACUCCAGGUGUGCGUGCCAAGAUUCCCAGAGCAUUUACUGAGCCCUUUAUAUGUCAGGUACCAGGCUAAUAAGAGAUUUAUGUAUGUUAUCUCAUUUAAUCCUAACAACCGUUUGAGGUGAAGUGAGUACUAUUAAUCCUUUUUCAGAUUUCAGAAAUCCUUGAAAUUUAGAAAAGGUUAACUAGUCAAAGUUUACUCUGUUGGUAAAUGGCAGAGUGUCAUUACUUUGACUAACCCCCAAACACUGAAUUCUGCAGGUGUCAUGGGCCAAAUAUGCUCGUUCCUUAUUUUCCUUUGAAACUAUUCUUUGUUGAUAUAAGGGAUCAUGAUGAGUAAUUCUUCAGAAUUUUUAGAAUACUUUGUAUAACAGGCACCCAGUAGGGCAUUGUUCAUAUUUAGACUUUCUAAUUGUCAUUCAGCUAGUGACAGCAAAAAGACAAACUGUUGUCAACUGUUGCUGGCAAGUAUGUUUUUCUUACCGAGGCUUUCUAAGGAGGUUUUGUACCUUUUGGGGCCUAUUGCUGCUAUUAUUCUAUAGAAGAGAAUUGGAUGGUUUCUCUGCUGCUUUUAUAUGUUUGUUUUCAUUGACAGAUUACAUUGUGAAUACAGAGCUGUGAUAGCAGGGAGAGUGCUGCACCUAUUGAUGUUUAUCGAGCUGUUGCAGAUGAUAUACCUGUCAUUCCAUAUACACAAACUAAUUUGAUCUUGCUAGUAAAUAUCUUUAAUUUCUGGUGUUCUUCCUGGUGUUCAUUUAUGCGGCCCCCUUCUCUGUACCACAUUGAAGUUUCUGGUAUAGGCUAGUUAAUUGUAUGUUCCUGGUUCCCUUCUUACUCAUCCUCAUGGCUUUGAUUCUGUGACCUUUCAUUUUCUAGCCUGGACCUCUCUUUGUUCAAGAUCCGUAUUCCAGUCUCUGCUGAAUCUCUGCCUAGAUAUUCAGUAGGCAUCCCAAAUUAAAUUCAGUAUGUCUCAUCAUUAUCCGUGAAUCAAUACAUUGUACAUAUAGACAGGCACAGAUAUUUUGUCGGUAUUCCCCAUCGUAGUUAAUGGUCUCUGCAUUAUUUAGUCAAUAAGCAGCAUUCUAUAAUGCGAGUAUGCUAUUAAAAACAAAAUAAUGAGCUUGAAAAACAAAAAAUUCUAGUCCAGACCCAUUUGCUGGGCAUCACCCCAAAACAGAUGUAUCGCCUUGGGGUAUCAUCUCAAAAUAGGUGUAACAAUCUGUACUGGUUGUUAAUAUGAUUAAAUGAAAUAAUGCACCAUCAAACUUAAUUCUUCCUUGUACAUAGGCACUCAGUGCUGUUUCCUUCCUCUUCUGAGUUAUACCUUCUUUCAUGGAAUAAAUGCCCUUCUCUCUCUCUCUCUGUAAUGGCUGUGCCUGUGGCAUAUUUAAGUUCCUGGGACAGGAAUCUAAUCAGACAGAGCUGCAGCUGUGUUGCCAGGCCAGUGCCUCUGGAGCCAUCAGAGCCAUUGCAGUCAGGUUCUUAACCCAGUGUCGGAAAUGAAUCUGACUAGCAUCCAUGAGGACGUGGGGUCGAUCCCUGGCCUCAGUCAGUGGGUGAUGGAUCCAGUGUUGCUAUGGCUGUGGUAUAGGUCAGAAGCUGCAGCUCUGAUUCGACCCUAGCCUGGGAACCUUCCUAUGCCACAGAUGAGGCCCUAACAAGACCAAAAACAAAAAAACAGAUACACUGGUUUGUCUUGUGUGCUCAAUUGGCUGUUUUUUAAUACAGGAAGUAUAUAAACUUUUUUGCCUUCCCUUUCUCUUCUUUAGGAAGGAAAUAGAACAGUGAUAAUAAACAACCGUCUCAAUGACUUUUUUAACUUAAGGAUUAUGAGCUUGGGCAGAAUAUACCCUUUUAUUAUAAAAUGUAUGCUUUAUAUUUCAGGCAGUUGUUGAUAUUUUUAAAAUUUGUAUUGAAGUUGAAAUAUUUCAGAUUGUUUCUUAGUUUCUCAUUGGCUUAUACAAUUUCAAAGAGUAUUGUUUUUCAAUGAGCAUUUUUUCUCAAGGAGAAUUUUUAUUUUGUUGGUAAAUAAAAUAAUCAUGACCGUAUUUGUUUAGAUUAAUCCCUCUUUAAAAACUGAAUUUCUGGAAUUCCCGUCGUGGAGCAGCGGAAAACGAAUCCGACUAGGAACCUUGAGUUUGAGGGUUCGAUCCCUGGCCUCACUCAGUGGGUUAAGGAGCUGGCGCUGCUAGGAGCUGGCGCUGCUAUGAGCUGUGCUGUAGACCAGCAGCUGUAGCUCCAAUUGAACCCCUAGGCCUGGGAACCUCCAUAUGCCGUGGGUGCGGCCCUAAAAAGAAAAAAACAACUAAUUUCUGUGUUAAUAUUUUUGGGUUUCUCCCACUUUCUGUAUCUUAGUAUUAUUUACAGAAAAAUUCUACCUUUCCUCUUCUUAAACAGAGUACGUAUCUGAUUCUUAUAUUGAUUAUAUUUGGCAUUGAAUACUUUUUCUAAAAUUACUGUUACCAUUAUUUAUAGUCCCAUUAUAUCUGUAGUUUUGAAAAGCUGUAAAAAUUCUCUGUUGCCAGAGAAUUUAAGAUAUGUUACCAGGUAGGCUUGUUUAUUCUGGGAAAAGAGGCUUGUGUUCUUUAGGCUAACCAUUUAGUAGUGGUCUAGUAAAGGUGGUCUGUGUCCUAGGGAUUCCAUCAUUGAAAUAAUAAAAUUAGGGAUUUCCUGUCAUGGCUCAGUGAAAACGAAUCUGACUAGAUUAGCAUCCAUGAGGAUCCAGGUUUGAUCCCUGGCCUCGCUCAAUGGGUUAAAGGAUCCAGCAUUGCUGUGAGCUGUAGUGUAGGUCGCAGAUGUGGGUUGGAUCCCAUGUGGCUGUGGCUGUGUUGUAGGCUGGCAGCUACAGCUCUGAUUUGGCCCCUAGGCUGGGAACCUCCAUAUGCCUCGGGUGCAGCCCUAAGAAGGCAAAAAAAAUGUUUUAAAAAUGUAUUUUUAGAAGAGUAUGUAUGUACCUAUGAUUAAAAGAAGACAAAAACAAGGAUUUAAGAAACUAGAUAUAAGCUUCUUAAUUUCAGAAAUGUAUCAUUAUAACCCUCUGUGGGCUCUCAUUAUGUCUUGGUUCAAUUUAAACUUUAGGGGGAAGGAGAAUCCAUGUGUGCUCAAGUCUCAUGGGAGACUUACUGUAGUGAGAUUUAUUAAAUAUGAUGUCAUUUUUAUUCCUGACUAAAUCAAGAAAUUGUGAAUUCGGGAGUUCCUGGCAUGGUGCAGCAGAAACAAAUCCGACUGGGAACCAUGAGGUUUCAUGUUCAAUCUCUGGCCUCACUCAGUGCGUUGAGGAGCUGGCGUUGCUGUGGCUGUGGCCGGCGGCUACAGCUCUGAUUAGACCCUUCGCCUGGCAACCUCCAUAUGCCACCAGUGCAGCCCUAAAA